CAGCACCUCGAGUGGUCAGGAUGAUUAUUGGGCCUAAAGCAUCCGUAGCCGGCGCUGUAAGUUUUCGGUUAAAUCUGUACGCUCAACGUACAGGCUGCCGGGAAUACUGCAGCGCUAGGGAGUGGGAGAGGUAGACGGUACUCGGUAGGAAGGGGUAAAAUCCUUUGAUCUAUUGAUGACCACCUGUGGCGAAGGCGGUCUACCAGAACACGUCCGACGGUGAGGGAUGAAAGCUGGGGGAGCAAACCGGAUUAGAUACCCGCGUAGUCC
rnacentral:rRNA from 1 species